CUCAACAUGACAAAAAUGUAAUAGGAAGUGUUUUGUUUUAAACUAUUUAUUUUGGUCGAUUCCUACAUACUUUCCUUGUGACCACCUUGUCCACACACAGAACAUGAAAAUGCCCUCUUAGACUCUUUCUCUAAUGCAGGCUUGAGUCUUUCCUUUCUAGGCCUUCCUGCAUUCCUUCUUCCUUUUGGUGGUAUGACCCACAUCUUCCAUCACCUCUGUUGGGAUUACCCAUAAACUCUCAUCUGGCAUCAG
rnacentral:lncRNA from 1 species